AACCGUGGUAAUUCUAGAGCUAAUACAUGCUAAAAGGCCCGACUUCGGAAGGGUCGUAUUUAUUAGAUAAAAAACCAAUGCCCUUCGGGGCUCCUUGGUGAUUCAUAAUAACUUAACGAAUCGCAUGGCCUUGUGCCGGCGAUGGUUCAUUCAAAUUUCUGCCCUAUCAACUUUCGAUGGUAGGAUAGUGGCCUACCAUGGUUUCAACGGGUAACGGGGAAUUAGGGUUCUAUUCCGGAGAGGGAGCCUGAGAAACGGCUACCACAUCCAAGGAAGGCAGCAGGCGCGCAAAUUACCCAAUCCCGACACGGGGAGGUAGUGACAAUAAAUACUGAUACAGGGCUCUUUUGGGUCUUGUAAUUGGAAUGAGUACAAUUUAAAUCCCUUAACGAGGAACAAUUGGAGGGCAAGUCUGGUGCCAGCAGCCGCGGUAAUUCCAGCUCCAAUAGCGUAUAUUAAAGUUGUUGCAGUUAAAAAGCUCGUAGUUGAACCUUGGGCCUGGCUGGCCGGUCCGCCUCACCGCGUGCACUGGUACGGCCGGGCCUUUCCUUCUGGGGAGCCGCAUGCCCUUCACUGGGUGUGUCGGGGAACCAGGACUUUUACUUUGAAAAAAUUAGAGUGUUCAAAGCAGGCCUAUGCUCGGAUACAUUAGCAUGGAAUAAUAGAAUAGGACGUGUGGUUCUAUUUUGUUGGUUUCUAGGACCGCCGUAAUGAUUAAUAGGGAUAGUCGGGGGCAUCAGUAUUCAAUUGUCAGAGGUGAAAUUCUUGGAUUUAUUGAAGACUAACUACUGCGAAAGCAUUUGCCAAGGAUGUUUUCAUUAAUCAGUGAACGAAAGUUAGGGGAUCGAAGACGAUCAGAUACCGU
rnacentral:rRNA from 1 species